rfam:Aspergillus niger ATCC 1015, whole genome shotgun sequence.
GCCCGACUGGCCCAGUGGUUAAGGUGUGCUUUGCAUGCACAAGGUCCGGGGUUCGAUUCCCAGGUUGAGCA